rnacentral:rRNA from 1 species
GAUGAACGCUCGCUACAGGCUUAACACAUGCAAGUCGAGGGGAAACGGCAUUAAGUGCUUGCACUUUUUGGACGUCGACCGGCGCACGGGUGAGUAACGCGUAUCCAACCUUCCCAUGACUAAGGGAUAACCUGCCGAAAGGCAGACUAAUACCUUAUGGUCUUCACUGACGGCAUCAGAUGUGAAGUAAAGAUUUAUCGGUUAUGGAUGGGGAUGCGUCUGAUUAGCUUGUUGGCGGGGUAACGGCCCACCAAGGCAACGAUCAGUAGGGGUUCUGAGAGGAAGGUCCCCCAGAUUGGAACUGAGACACGGUCCAAACUCCUACGGGAGGCAGCAGUGAGGAAUAUAGGUCAAUGGGCGAGAGCCUGAACCAGCCAAGUAGCGUGCAGGAUGACGGCCCUAUGGGUUGUAAACUGCUUUUGAAUGGGGAUAAAGUCAAUCACGUGUGAUUGUUUGCAGGUACCAUACGAAUAAGGACCGGCUAAUUCCGUG